AGAUUCUGUGCUAGGAUGAUCGUUCAUCAUGGGAAAUGACUGAGCAAAGUGAAGUAUGAGAUUGGUGACUGAGAGCCUGUAUUUUGUGAUACAACCAUGUCAACAAAGAAGUAAAAAAAUAAAAAAUAUAUCCCAAUACAGUACAUCACAGAAUAAAACAGUAGAGUACAUAAAUAUAUAAAUGUGGUGUUAGUAUAUGAUAAUAUAUAGGUAUAGUGUUGGUGUACAAUAAUAUGAGUGUGGUACAAUUAAGUAUUGUAAGAAUUUCUAUGUACAUUUUCAAAAUGGUGCUUCAUUUGGACAUGUCCUAAUGUGGUUAAAGCUGAAGUAGAAAUAAAGUAAAGCUUGUAAAAUCCAAAAA